GUGGGUAGCAAACAGGAUUAGAUACCCUGGUAGUCCACGCUGUAAACGAUGGACGCUAGGUGUUGGAGGAACCGACCCCUUCAGUGCCGAAGCCAACGCGUUAAGCGUCCCGCCUGGGGAGUACGACCGCAAGGUUAAAACUCAAAGGAAUUGACGGGGGCCCGCACAAGCGGUGGAGCACGUGGUUUAAUUCGAUG
rnacentral:rRNA from 1 species